AUGUUGUCGCCCACAUGCGGUUGGGACUUGGGAUGGGAACGAAGAAGAUGAAGCUCCUGUUUGGGAGUGGCGGAGUGCUUAUUCUCAAGCAUUUAUUGAUGAAAAGCACUUAUUUGACGCUGGGACUACGUCAACAAACACUUCUUUUAUGCUUUGGUAACUUAAGUGCUUUUUUGAAAAAAUGCUUAUGGCGAUUCUAGCCCGUCUUUGGCCCAUUUGAAAUAAGCGCUUUUUUACCAAUCACUCCCAAACGAUGCGUAGGACUUCACUGUGUCUCCUUCAUUUGCUCGGACAACAGCACAACACAAGCAGGGAGAAGAUGAAAAUCGCCGAUGAGGUCUUCGCCAUUGGGGAAUUCCAUUGGCAAGAAUCAUGCCAAAACCUCCUACUUUUUCCACAACCAAAUUGCAGAUUCGCCAUUCGAGACUUCAUUGGCAGGAACAGGUGGCACCAAUUUUUGGGACAAGGGCUGGACGCCUUGUGGCUAUGCUCUCCAGCAUGCACUGGUCAAUAACAUAACCCUACAACCUUUACCCCUUUAAUCCUGGCAUUCUCUGAUCCUAAAGAAAUACUGCAUAAAGAUCAUGCGUGAUUGAAUGGUCUCUGAGACUCUUGAAGUUCAUCAAGGUGCUAAAUGGCCAGAUCGUUCGUGAUUCAACUCUCAAGGAUGCAGAAUUCCUGUGCAUGUGUUCAGACGAGAAAGGUUCAGUUGGCAUUCUUCUACCUGGGAAUCCGCCACCAUCAUUGCCCAUACUGGUUCACUGUAUCAUCAACAAGAUGAAUGAAGAGAAUCCUAUCCUCUGGAGGUUCACAGUUUGUUAUAUAGAAAUUACCAAAAGAACAAAUGUACAAAACACAGGAUAAUUGAUAAUUUCUAAAGGAAUCUUUUUGAUGGUUCAGCAUUUAUUCUGUAA